rnacentral:lncRNA from 1 species
GUAAUACCUAAAAACCUAAAAUUCAAUUUUCUAACUUUUCAGUUUUCAAUUUUCUUCUAUGCCUCUCAUCUCUUCUACCUCUCGUCGUCUCUCAUUUCUGCUCGUGCCUCAGCCACUGGCCUCAAUUUUUUGACGUGAUUUUUGUGCUAAAUGCUUGGAUUGAAGGAUGAGAUUCCCAAUUACAAGGUUUGCUGAACUUAAUAUAAAGUUGCUAUUUAUGAAGGACGAGAUUCCCGUACGAACAAAAUACACACGAUUUCCUUCAAAGAGUUCCACACCGUCAAGUAGAAUUGUUGAAAUGACUGAGAAAAUCCAAUCCGUCCGAAAAUUCAACCAGAUUAAUUUACUUUUAUUGUUAAUGGGCCAGCCCUAAAGCCCUUUACUUUGAGGGUUGUUGUUUGGUUGUAUAUAUGGUCGUAGCUCGGCAUUUUGGAGGGGAUCGAUGAAUUUAUUAUGGUCUGCAAUUUGUGUUGGUAGUGAAUUGAUUCUCCGACUCAUUUCGCCUCUCAUCUCUUCUCUUUUUACAUCAUCUAAUCCCUCCCCCAUUCUGUUUCUUCUAUUUCAAUUGGUUACAUAUUCAGCUAACCCUACUGGAAAUCAUCCCAUUUCUGCGUUACGGUAGUUGUGAAGUUGCAGGUGGAGUCCGACCGUGACAGAUUCCGACUUCUCUCUGGAGCCUUUCUGAUCCCGAACCUGACACUGAACGAGAAAUCUACUAAUCCGCAAAACUACAGAUCGCAUUCAUAUCGUAAUUGAUUUUGAAUUGAAGUCGUUAUCUCGUGGUCAAGUUUUAUUUUUAGUUUUUCCUUUUCAAUGGCGACGAGGAAUCAGACGAUCUUGUAUAAGAAGUACAGGGACGCAUUAAAGAGCGUUCGGGCUCCGUCAGGUUUGUUGCCAUCGAGUUCCGAUGGAGGAACGGUGAUAGAGCUGUCGACGACGUCGUUGCUUAAUCCCUAUCGCCCCCUCUCAGCACUGAAGAUUUAUGCUUCGCAACGUUGAAUUUUUAACUCUGUGAGUUUUUCUUAUUUUAUGAAUCUGAAGUCAUAAAACGGGCAGGUUUUGCAGUGAAUAGCUAUUACCAAAUAAAUGGGCAGCUUGCUGUGGGAUUCAACAACCUGCCCGUUUCUUUGGUAAUAGCUAUUCACAGCGAAAUUGCAGAAGUUGAGUUUUUUGGGACGAUAUCACCUCGAAGAAUUGUAUGGUGUAAGCAUAUGGCAUUGAUUUUUUCCUGUAUGAUUAGCGAUCCCAUUCUUCAAAAUAUACCCAUUGAAAUUUGAUCUUAGAUUAUUGUUUAUAUCAUUCAAUCCGUAAAACAAUUAUGCACCAACAGCCAGAAACAAUUCUAUAUUUUACUAAUUCAUUUUGUCCAUUCUAGUUUUAUAUUAAUUUGGACGUCAAAGUUCUGAAUAUGUUGAAUUAAUAUUUGGGUUCUGCGUUUUGCUUUCGGGAGUUCUUAGUUGUUUGGGGGGAAAAAAAAGGGUGACUGUCGUAUAUUCAUUUGGCUCAUUUUUGUUUAGUUUGUUCAUUUUCG